GCGCCCCUCUGUGCAGAGCAGUGAACACCAUCACCAGACACAACCACCGUCUCAGGGCGCAGACACAACACCGACAGCCCGGACAGCUCGAUCCCUCGGGUCUCAUGACGGCUGACAGAGGAGUGGGAGAGACAGACUGAGCUGAGAGGGAGGCUGGCAGAGUGAAUGGGCGGCUGUCAACUGAUUGUAUCCAUGUGCACAUCCCUCACAUCUUUUAAUGGGCUGCACGGUGGCCCAGUGGACAGCACUGUGGCCUCACAGCAAGAAGGUCCUGGGUUUAGACCUCGCUCAGGCCAGGCCUUUCUCCAUGGAGUUUGUAUGUUUCCCCCAGGAACCACGGGGGCGGGGGGUGGUCGAUAAGCAAGCCGCUUAUCGAGAUGAGCCCCCACCCUGAGUCUCGACCCCUCCGGCCACCAAACCCUUAACAACCUCCUUCAUCCCUCCAUUCUCAACCCCUUCAUCACUCUUCCCUCGAUCCCUCCAUCAUAAUACUCAUUUUCUGAAUAAACUACCUUUUCAUACCCCA